CUGGGCUUGAAUUGCAUAAUAAUAACAGCAGCAAGGUAUAUUUCUGUGAGGUUUAUGACUUAAACAAAGUGCUCUCACAUAUCCUAUUUCAACUAGGGCAGAGGCCAUGACAACCAAUGAUGUAGUGGGGGACAAUAAAGUAUAGGAAGGAUAACAACUUGAAAUUCUAAACAACAUAAGCAGAUAUCAAAAUACGAGAUCUGUGUAGGUUAGAGGAGCUAGAAGAUAGGAAAAGGUCUUAAACCUAUCAUUUGCCUAUGAAUACAAACUGAAAGUAGUUUUAGAAGUUCAGGUCAGGUUGAGAGUCUGAUGGGAAGUGAGGAGGAUCUGGAAAGUCUGAUCCAGAUCCAGAGAGGCCAGGAGAGGCAAUGAGGACUGGAUAGGACAUUCUACUGUGAAGGUGAACAGGCCUGUGUCAUAGAGGAGUGGUGUGGAAUGCGGGGAAUUCUGAAAAGCUGGUGUUCUUGGGUGCAACAAUCCACUUUAACAAAAGCCAAUGAACAAUGCAGAGGGACAGAACAGAGACUGAGAAACGAAAGGGGCCUAGAAAUUAUCGUCAGAGCUGAGCAUGGUGUACAUACCUGUAAUUUCGGCACUUGGGAGGCUGAGGCAGAAGGAUAGAGAGUUUGAGAACAGCCUGGGAUACAUAACAAGCAUAAUGAGACCCCCCCAUCUCAAAAAAUAAGAACAAAUCCCAGAAAUUACUGUUUUUGGAAAAGAGUGGAAAACAGGUGGAAUGAAUUAUCAC
ensembl:lncRNA